rnacentral:lncRNA from 1 species
CCUGGUUGUUCAGAAAGAGAAAAGGAGAGAAGGGGUUGAUUUUGAACUUAGUUUCUUUUGAUUUAGACAAAAUUAAAAAUCCCUGACCUGUUAAUAAGUUUUUUCUAAACCCUAAGGCCCUAUGGCUUCUGCUGUCGUGGCUUCUAUUAUGAAGGGCCACCAACUCUCAUUUUUAGCCCAAAGUUGUGUUGCUAUUGCGCCUGCAUUUCCAUGUACUCAGAAGACUGUCUUAUAUCAACGAAUGUAACACGAUGGCUUUACUUGAAACACGUUCCCAUUCCAAUAACAGAGUCAUGCUCAUGACUAACAUGGCUCAUGCACUUAGUCGAUCCAUUUCAACCAAAUCAUUAAACUGAAGUCGGGGAAUAGAACGACGUAACAAAACACAUUCUA